GGUUAUUUAGUCUAAGUAAGGCAUCUGUUUUGAAAGCAGAUAAUAAAGGUUCAACUCUUUUAGUAACUU
rnacentral:tRNA from 1 species